rnacentral:rRNA from 1 species
UACAGAGGGUGCAAGCGUUAAUCGGAAUUACUGGGCGUAAAGCGCACGUAGGCGGUUUUUUAAGUCAGAUGUGAAAGCCCCGGGCUCAACCUGGGAAUUGCAUUUGAAACUGGGAAACUAGAGUGUGUGAGAGGGGGGUAGAAUUCCAAGUGUAGCGGUGAAAUGCGUAGAGAUUUGGAGGAAUACCAGUGGCGAAGGCGGCCCCCUGGCACAACACUGACGCUCAGGUGCGAAAGCGUGGGGAGCAAACAGGAUUAGAUACCCUGGUAGUCCACGCCGUAAACGAUGUCUACUAGCUGUUCGUGACCUUGUGUUGUGAGUAGCGCAGCUAACGCACUAAGUAGACCGCCUGGGGAGUACGGUCGCAAGAUUAAA